GCCCUGAACGAGGGGUCUGGAG
rnacentral:miRNA from 1 species